UACGAAGGGGGCUAGCGUUGCUCGGAAUCACUGGGCGUAAAGCGCACGUAGGCGGAUUCUUAAGUCGGUGGUGAAAUCCUGGAGCUCAACUCCAGAACUGCCUUCGAUACUGAGAGUCUUGAGUUCGGGAGAGGUGAGUGGAACUGCGAGUGUAGAGGUGAAAUUCGUAGAUAUUCGCAAGAACACCAGUGGCGAAGGCGGCUCACUGGCCCGAUACUGACGCUGAGGCACGAAAGCGUGGGGAGCAAACAGG
rnacentral:rRNA from 1 species